UCCCAUACGAUCACCAAAGUUAAGCAAUGUUAAGCCAGAUCAGUACCUACAUGGGUGAUCUCAUGGGAAUACCAGGUAC